UGAAGGCGAAUAAAUUUAAAA
rnacentral:piRNA from 1 species